rnacentral:rRNA from 1 species
UGCACAAAAGCUCCCAAAAUAUUGACGAGCGCAUCUAUUAGACUAAAAACCAAUCGAGAUGAUUCAUUAUGUAUAUUGUGUAGUGAAUUUCAGCUCGUUGAUUGGUGACUCUGAAUAGCUUAGCUGAUCGCAUGGUCCUGAACCGGCGACGUAUCUAUCAAGUAUCUGCCUUAUCAACUUUCGAUGGUAGUUUAUGUGACUACCAUGGUUGUAACGGGUAACGGAGAAUAAGGGUUCGACUCCGGAGAGGGAGCCUGAGAAACGGCUACCACUUCCAAGGAAGGCAGCAGGCGCGCAAAUUACCCACUCUCAGCUCAGAGGAGGUAGUGACGAAAAAUAACGAGACCGUACUCGAUGAGGCCGGUUAUCGGAAUGGGUACAAUUUAAACCCGUUAACGAGGAUCUAUGAGAGGGCAAGUCUGGUGCCAGCAGCCGCGGUAAUUCCAGCUCUCAAAGUGUAUAUCGGCAUUGCUGCGGUUAAAAAGCUCGUAGUUGGAUUUCAGCCUUACGACGUGGUCCAUUCAUUGAGUGCGAACUACGCCUCGUAGGCUAUGUUAAUGUUGGUUUUUCUUACGUUGCUCUAACAGGCUGCGUAAGGUGGCUAACGAGUUUACCUUGAAAAAAUUAGAGUGCUCAACGCGGGCUAACGCCUGAAUAUUCGUGCAUGGAAUAAUGGAAUAGGAUCUCGGUUCUAUUUUGUUGGUUUUCUGAACGGAGAUAAUGGUUAAGAGGGACAGACGGGGGCAUUCGUAUCGCUGCGUGAGAGGUGAAAUUCUUGGACCGUAGCGAGACGUCCCACUGCGAAAGCAUUUGCCAAGAAUGUCU